UCCGUAGGCGGAUGGUUAAGUCCGGUGUGAAAGAUCAGGGCUCAACCCUGAGAGUGCAUCGGAAACUGGGCAUCUUGAGGACAGGAGAGGAAAGUGGAAUUCCUAGUGUAGCGGUGAAAUGCGUAGAUAUUAGGAGGAACACCAGUGGCGAAGGCGACUUUCUGGACUGUAACUGACGCUCAUGCACGAAAGCGUGGGGAGCAAACAGGAUUAGAUACCCGGGUA
rnacentral:rRNA from 1 species